AGUGCCGUGGUUGUACCGCGGCGCUGGGGGUUCCUCCCGGCGAGACUGGCGGGGCUGCGGCGGCUAGGAGAGUGGUGCGUAGGUGUUUCUGGGGGGGUCGUGGGCAGGAUGCAGGGCUCAGUAAAGUUUAGUGUCAGAACUUUGUUUGCGCUACCCCUAAUAUUUCCGUAGAGUAAUAGUUGUAUUAACUACUUUUCUUUUUUCUUCUGUCCUCCAUUUGUUUUGGGGGAGGGUGCGGAGGAAUAAGCCUGUGUCUAAGAUUGGCGCCUCUCUUCUCUAGCUGUUAACUCUGAGCAUUCCCUUUUGUAUAGGGUAUCGUGUUAAUUUUUACAUGCACCCAGAGCAGUCUGCCUUUUGGAAGAUACAUGGGAGACCCUACCGAAAGUAAUUACUUUUUUUUUACAGAGUGAAUAAAUUUGCGUGUCAUAAAGGCUGUAUAAUUGCUUUCGUGUCUAGAGUUCUAGAGUCUUUCGUAUUUCUCUUAUUGCAAUGAUUAACUUCAUCAAAUAAUGAGGAAUAUAAACAUAAGGUGCAUGGCUAUCAAGGAAACAGGGAAAGCAAAGAGAACAUGUAUCCUGCUUCCCUGUUGAGUAGAUAUUUACUCAGGUGUACCUUUCUUUUUUAUAUCUUUUUUAUAUCUUAUGAAUUGAAAAUAAAUCAUGGGACCCCCAAAUCACUAAGCUAAAGGGAAAAGUCAUACUGGGAACUGCUUAGGGAAUCCUGCCUCCCAUUCUAUUCAAAGUCACCCCUCUGCUCACUGAGAUAAAUGCAUGUCUGAUUGCCUCAUUUGGAGAGGCUCAUAAGAGAAUGCAACUGUCUGUUAUCUACCUAUGACUUGGAACUUCCUCCCCACUUGGAGUUGCCCCGCUUUUCCAGAUCAGACCAAUGUUUAUCUUACAUAUAUUGAUUGCUGCCCCAUGUCUCCCUAAAAUGUGUAAAACCAAGCUGUGCCCCAGCCACCUUGGGCGCAUGUUGUCAGGAUCUGUGCCAUGUCAUGGAUGCAAGUUCUUAACUUUGGCUAAAUAAACUUUCUGAGUUGAUUGUGACCUGUCUCAGAUAUUUGGAGUUCAUGUAUCUCACUCUUUACUAUUUAAAAAAUAUUAUUCCAGUUAGAAAGAAUGAAUAAUAUCAAGUAUUUGAUAGCACAGCAGGGUGACUAGUUGUCAGAGGCGUUUGAACUAGAGCAACUCCAUCUUGAAUAGGGGCUGGGUAAAAUAAGGCUGAAACCUACUGGGCUGCAUUCCCAGGAGGUUAGUCACAGAGUGAGAUAGAAGGUCCACAGGCAGGAAAAACAAGUCAUAAAGACCUUGCCGAUAAAACAGGUUGCAGUAGUGAAGCCAACCAAAACCCACCAGAAACCAAGAUGAUGAAUACAGUGACCUCUGGUCGUCUUCACUGCUCAUUAUAUGCUAAUUAUAAUUCAUUAUCAUGUUAAAAGACACCCCCACCAGUGCCAUGACAGUGUACAGAUGCCAUGGCAACGUCUGGAAGUUACCUUAUAUGGGUCUAAAAUGGGGAGGAACUCUCAGCCCUGGGAAUUGCCUACACCUUUCCUUGGAAAACUUGUGAAUAAUCCACCCCUUGUUUAGCUGUAAUCAAGAAAUAACUAUAGGUAUCCUUAGGCCAGCAGCUCAAGCCGUUGCUCUGCCUAUGGAAUAGCCAUUUUUUUUUUCCUUUGCUUUCUUUAUAAACUUGCUUCACUUUAUGGAUUUGCUUUCAAUUCUUUCUUGUAUGAAAUCCAAAAACCUUCUCUUGGGGUCUGGAUUGGGACACCUUUCCGGAAGUACAGUCAAUAAUAAUUCAAUUGUACAUUUUAAAAAACAAAGUACAAGUGGAUUGUUUGUAACACAAAGGAAAUGCUUGAGGUAAUGGAUACCACAUUUACCCUGAUGUGAUAAUUACAUGCUGUAUGCCUGCAUCAAAAUAUUUCAUGUACUCCAUAAAUAUAUACACCUACUAUGUACCUACAAAAAUUAAAAACUAAAAAAUAAAAAUAUUCCUUUUAAUCAUAUAUUGAUAGAGUUGGUAAAGGGGAGCUAUUUCAAUUUCUUUUCCAUCUAAGUACAUUACUGUGGGCAACUCAAAUCCAAUGCCAUAAACGUAAUUGUCUAUUAAAUUCCCCAGCUUUAUUUAAAAGACAGGAACUCAGUCAUAAAACCUUCCACUAAGUACUGCUAGAAAAUGACAAUGGCUACCUGAUUAUGGACCAAGAGGGAAAACACCAGAAGUCAAAGAGGUAGUUUGGAAGGUGGUAGGUAGUGUGGUUCCAGAGAGCAUCAAGCUUCAAAACAAGCAGAAACAUUCAUUCCUAAAACACAUAUUUAUUAAUUCUCUAUCAGAUGCCAUGGAGCACAGUGGUGGAUAAGGAAGACAUGGUCUGGCCGUAACAAUUUUGAAAUCUAAUGAAGCAGAUUAAAAAGAUAAGUACUUACAAUAAAAGUGUGGAAAUUCUAACAAUAGGGGAAGUAUAGGGCAGUAUGUGAUCACUUGGCAGCCAAACUUCUUGCUUCCUAUGUAAGACUCUCACAGUCAGACUGGAGCUGCACAUCUCUGCCGCUGCACAACACAUGGAGAAUAGUCUGCUGUAUCCUAGCCUUGCCAAGCCCUUUCAGGACCCCAUGUCUUUACUGGAUUGCCUGUCCACUUCCCCACGCCCCCGACCCUCAUCCCCGCAUAUUAUUUUGUAACAUAUUUCUUCAUGGUAUCCCAGCUUUAAAGUCUUCAAUGAAACCUUUUAAACUCCUACAGUUAUUGUAUAUGUUGUGUUUCCACAUUUCUUUAUUUAGAUGCCUCUAAUAGCAAGAAAAGUUAUAUUGUAGUUUAUUAACUUAUUUACUGCAUCUCUCAAUAUCCUGAGCUCCUAAAGGAACUCCUGAAAGUUCCUCAGCACUUAGCGUGACAACUAGUACAUAGUACCUGCUGUAUUCUAUAAAUGUCCUUUAUGUGAGUAAGUCAGUGUAAAUGUUUUGGUGCAGCAUUAUACUUUGGUAAAAUAGUACUAUGUUAAUAUUACUAACAUUUACAUUUAUUCCUAAGAAAGGAAACCAUAAGAAUAAUUCAUGGUUAUAUUUUCUAGAGACUAGGCUUGUUUCGUCCAGUAUGGUACUCAAUAGCCAUAUAAAGCUAUUUACAUUUAAAUUAAUUAAGAUUAAAUACAAUUGAUAAUGUGGUCCUUCAGUUGCACUAGCCACAUUUCAGAUUCUCAGUAGUCACAUGUGCCUCAUGGCUAUCAUAUGGGAUAGUUUAGAAAAACAUCUUCGUCUUCACAGAAAGUUUUAUUGUACAGCUCUGGUCUAGACCUUUGAUGGGAUGCACAUUUGUUCAGACUCUGAGAUCAUAUAACUUAAAUAUCUCCACCUAGCAACCAUAUACUCUAACUACAUUUUCAGUUAUUUUGAAUGGGUAAUAAGCAUUUGAAUGGAGGAUAUUUCAGUGUUGGCUGAUAUCUGAUAUUAAGUAGAGCUUUAAUCAAUACAGUGCAUGCCUAGAAUAAUGGUAAGAAUCCCAAGUGGCUAUUUAAUAACAGAUGAGAGAUUCUUUUGAAGAGCAAGCUUUGUGUAGACUUGGGAAAUAGAAUUUCCAUUCUCUACAAAAUAUUGUAAUAGUUGUGUUUGUGUCUACAAACUUAAGUUGAAUUUUGAUAUGUAGAUGAUGGGGGAGGAUUGAUGGUGUCUUCAGCUGCACUCUGUACAUGAUUUGUGACACUAUCCUUAGACUCACUUUAAAAUAUGAAGGGCAAUAAAAUAUUGCCACAUUUAUAAUUUGAAUUGAUGGCUACCCUGAUAGCAUAUCAAGUGUGAUCUGGUAAAGUUCCUCCAUGAUAAAUUUUAAAAAAAUAAAAUUUGAAGCAUUUUUUCCUUGUCUGUCAAGAAAAUACAACUGUAAACUUUGAAAUACUUUUCCUGGUUCAACUAGGAAAAUAAAACUAAGUAACUACAAUUGGGUAUUGUCAAGCAAAUCAGUAUUCACUGUUUGUCACAUAGGGAAAUUACCAAGACAUAGUGUUAAUUGUGUCACUGACAUUAUCCUAUUGUAAUGAAGGAUUUAAAAAUUAUUUUAAUCCCAUAAUCAAAAAUGGUAGUGAACAUCCAAACAUAGCAAAUAUUAGUGCCUUAGGAAAACACUAUGAUUCAUGAGUAGAAGGAGAGGAAAAAGACCACUGAAAAAGAGGAAAGUAAUUAGAGCAGCAAAAAAUUAUAGACGAAGGAUAGUUAACAAUAACUCUACAGAGUUAAGGACAAGGAAAAUAAUGCAGAACCACUGGCUAUUACAGCAAAAAGGCUAUGCCUUUUACUUUAUUUAUUUAUUUAUUUAUUUUUAAAAAUAGAGAUGAGAUCUUGCUCUGUUGCCCAGGCUGGUUUCAAACUCCUGGCCUCAAGUGAUUCUCCCACCUUGGCCUCCUUAAGUUCUGAUUUUACAGGUGUGAGCCAUCGUGCCCAGCCAGGCUGUGACUUUUAACAGGGGAUUGUUUCUUUUUUUCCUGCCAUGGUUGCAAUAGAAGUCAGAUUGUAAGAGCAUAAAGAAGCCAUAUUAGUGUGGAGACAAAAGUGACUCCACCUUAAAUGCUAAUCUGCUAUAAUGAUUUUUGAGUAUCCUCAGUCCCAUGAAUGCCUCCUGAUUCCUACUUUAUUUACUGUCCCUAGAGAAAGAACAUGUCAAUCUUGAUGUUAUCCCACAGUUUACAGACUAUGAUGAAUAUAUAGCAUUGUUGCCUGUUCUGGAGGAUUGCCUUUAAUUAUCUUGCAUAGAGAGCACUUAUACCCUUUCACUGUAGUAUAUAAGCUCUGGGUUGGGAGGUAACAGGUUUAGAGAUCUACCUGUCUUGCUGCUGCCCAAGACCACACUUCCGUCUGUAAGUUACCUCCAUCACUGACAAACUGGAUUUUUCUACCUCAUUCUUUGAUUUCUCAGCUCCUCUGGCAUUUGGGGGGAACUUUGCAUAUAUGGUGGCCCUUUCACAGAACAGUCAGCAUUCUCCAGAGUAACAGAGAGAUUAUAGUAAUUGGCCCAUGUGAUUAUGGAGGCUGAGAAGUCCCAUGAUCUGCAAGCUGGAGAACCAUAGAAGUUGGUGGUGUAGUUCAGUCUGAGUUUGAAGGUCUGUGAACCAGGAGUGCUGAUGUCCGAGAGGAGGAGAAGAUGGCUGUUCAGCUCAAGCAGAAAGCUAAUUCACUGUUCUCUGCCUCUUUGUUUCAUUCAAGCCCUCAAGGGAUGGUAUAAUGCCUACCCAAAUGGGUGAGAGCGUCUUUUUUACUCAGUCUACCAAUUCAGAUACAAGUCUCUUCUGUAAACACCUUCACAGACAUACCCAGAAAUAAUGUUUUACCAGAUAUUUGGGCAUCCUUUAGCCCAGUCAAACUGACACAUAAAAUUAACUGUCAUAGAAGGACUACCUCGUUAGCAACUAAGAACAAUGGGACUUAGAACAAAGACCUCAUCAGGUAUUAAAUUGGAAGAAGAUACAUUAAUGAAAAGAAAUGUUAUGGUACUGUUGAAGAUGGAGGCAGCAAGACCCUCCGAGGCUAUAGAAAAAAUAGCGUAAUAAACCCAGAAAGGCUCUUCAAGAUAUCUAUGUUAGUGUUCUACCUAACACAGCAAUAAUUUCUUUGCAAAGCCCCUGGCAGAUUAUUUAGUUUUGCUUGGAUCCUUAAGGUGAUGAAGUGUUCCCUUUUUAGCAAGGUAAAUGAAUCUGUUUUUGGACAGAUGUAACUCUUAGAAAUUUCUUCCUUGUACUGCUAAAGCAAGGUCUGUUUCCCUGUAGCUUCCAUAUGGUUUCCUUAAGUGAUAAACAGACUGACUGUAAUAUAUCUUUCCUAUGACAGCCCUCCAAAUAUCUGAAGUAUGUCCCUCCUGUUUUCUUUUUUUAAGUUAAGCAUCCCAGAUACUUCAAUUUAUAUCUCCUCACAAGAUUGCCAGACCUCUUAAUAUUUUGGCUGCCCAAUCAGAAUAAAGUUGUUGAACUCUAGUUUGCCAGUGUCAAUUUUAAAAAGUAAUGUCCAGAAGGAAUUUUGUAUUUUGCAUGUAGUCUGACUGGAACAGAUAAGAGACAGUGAAAUUAAUUUUGUUAGAUAUUUUACACUUGUUAAUUGGACUCUUGGCCUAAACUGAACUGUAAUGAAUGUACCUGUCUGGUAUUUAUCUAAAUUGCCAUCAAACCAGGUUUAGUCUAUUCUGUAGCUGAAAAAAUUAAUUUUAUUUGAUAAAUUUUACCUUGUUCGUUUUGAUCCAUUCAUUCAUUUAUUCAUUCAUUGUUUCAACAAAUACUUUUUGAGGUCAGCAUUGUGGCAGUCUUCGUUAUGCCCUGAGAUUACCAGAAAGUACAGGUUAUUCCAAUUAGUUGAACAACUUGAGAUCAUUUUAAAAUGUAAAUCUAAUAUUCAACAUUGUUAUUUUUACAUCACCUGUCAUCUAUAAAUUUCAUAAACAUGAUUGUAUCUUUAUUCAGUUAAUAACAAGAUUAAAAAAUCAAGGACAUAUUGUGAUAAGCUGGUGAUUUUGAAUCAUCAGGAUUCUAGAUUUAAAAGUUUUUGGAGACAGAACAUUUAACGGUGUGAUUUAUUUAUUUUAUAGAAGAGAGUUAAUAUAUAACUUAGAGUUUGAUUGUCUUAAAUACCGUAUUUCUCUUUUUGUCCCAGGGGAAGAUCACAGAAUGCUGCCUUGCUUGUGGAAUUAUAGAAUUCAAAUCUAUCAGUUUUAUAGGGAGUAAUUUUUCAAGACUUACUCUUAAGGAAUUCAUACUGAUUCCUAAUAAUCAUCAUUUUCUUAAUCUAAAUCCUACAAAGCCAUUCAUUUAAUCAUUUGUUUUAGAAUGUUUCCUGCUUUCCUGUAUGUUUCUUUUUCUUCUUACUUUAAAGCAAGGUUUAAACAUCCCUUUUGAUAUUUUUAGGUUUUGUCGGGGUGUAGGGAGCAAGGUUAUUCUCACUGUGACCUUUGCCCUGCAGCAGUAAAGCAAUAACUAGCAUCAUUUCUGCUUUGUAUUGUUUUAUCAUUUCUACAUCAUGUUUGUAGGCUGACGAAUGAAGUCAAAUGCUUAUAAAUGCUUUGUAAACUAUAAAAUUCUCCAUUUAUAUAUAUUUCUGCCCCACUUAUUUCUCAUUAAUGUUACUUGUGAUUAUAUUGUCAGAAUUCCUUAGAGCCACAUUUUUGUGAAUAUUGUGCUGCAAAUAUAUUUAUUUGUUUGUAAGCACUAAGUAUUCUUUUGUUCCCAAGAAAACAAAUUCUAUAUGAGUCUUUUCUGGUUCUGUUUUUCUUUUGUUUCAAUCUCUUCACAAUAUUGUAUUUAGAGCCAGAUUUAUCAGCCCCAGGCAUCUCUUGCUUUCCUGUGUCUACUUCUUCACAGUAUAACUCUCAGGCAAAAUGACAAAAAGGCAAAUUCACAAAGGAACCAGUGAGUGUUCUUGUCAGUGCUUGGGUUCCAUUCUCAAAUAAGCUGAAAGUUCUUCUAUUUCAUCAACAGAAUGUGAUUUAAAGGGAUAUAUUGCCAGCUUGUAUCACUGCUAAACAGUGGUGUGUCACUGUAGAGCAAAUAGUCACAAGAAUACAUUCUCAGGAAAUAUACAGUUAUAUCUAUGCUUUCUGCCAAGCAAGGAGAAACGCAGACUGGCUCAAAUCUCCAGAAACGACUUGCAUCCUUCUUUAUUUCUUACACCUUUUCUUUUCUUCAUCUCCUAUUUCUUCUUUCCCCAUGUCCUCCUCCUGCUUUCACAAUUUCCUUCUCCUCCUUAUUCUCCUUCUCUUUCACCUCCCCGUCUUCUUCCUUACGCGUUGAUUAUGCCAGUAAGAUGAUAUCUUGUAAAGAAAUGGAAUACUUUUAGCAGAUGCCACACUAUAGCCACAGUAGUGACAUCUGGAAUUUGUCAAAAGCCACAGUUGGCAUCCCUAAAAUUCACCUGCCUGGAUUCUGUUCUGAGAAGAUUGUGUCUGCAAGAAAGUCUGGCCAAGUUCCUAAAAGAGGCAAAAUCAAGGAUAGAUGGCAUCUAUCCUAGUUCACGUGAAGGUUAAAAGCGUCUUCAGGUACUUAGAUACAUAGAUAUACAGGCUCUGUUAUUACAAACUUUCAAGGCAAUUCUUAUGUUCUUAUGUAUUUAUUUGCUUUUUGAAUCACAAAAUUUAUGCUUAUAUUUUAAGCAGAUGGAGUUUGUUUAUGAAGAAGUGAUUAUUGCUGAUACUCAUUAUUACACAUCAGAGUAGUUAUAUUUCUAUGUAAUUUUUUGCAUGGAGUAGGCAUUUGUGGUCUUGCUCUACAUCUGUUUGAUCAUAGCAAUUCCAGUUGAUUUCACAGGGUCAGCAAAUACACAGCACAUAAGCUAACACUCUUCCUUCUUGUACCCACAGUAGACCACUAAUCAAUUAUGGCGUUUGUCUUGCUAAGCCAGGAAACAGCUUCAGAAUCCUUCUCAAACAAUGUUUCAGACAGCUGCUAUUAAUAUGUCAGAGUUGGCACUUGAUGAGAAAUACAGUUGCCAUUCCAGAUUAAGGCCAACACCCCCCACCGCCCCAAAAAACAGCCUCAUAAAAAGACCUCUGAGCAGUGGCAUCAGAAAUCUAAGGGUCACUGAUGGAGUAUGACAGGAAUCUAAGACAGAGAGAGAUCCUAAUUUCCCAGGAGCCAGUAAUGCAGAGUGGAUAAUUCUGGUUUGGACUUAAGGUAGAUGUAGGAUGGAAGUAAAAAAGAAAACAUACAUUGGGACUGGGUCCUUAGAUCUAUAAAUUGUUUAUUUGGGUAGCCAUUACUCAGAUUUCUCUCAUUCUAUAGAGUGGUUUUUUAGAGUUUCACAGUGGUACCUAAUUGUGACAAUACGGGUCUUUCCUAUGAUUAGUGACCCAAUAGAAUAGUGAAAAGGAAAGUAUUUGUUUUUGUACAACAUAGAGGCAUGAGUGCCUUCUUUUAACCCAUUGAUUCCCACACUUUGAUCUUGAGAAACUUACUGUCUUAAACCUUCUGAAGACCUCCCAAAGGGCUUUUGUUUAUAUGGCUAUAACUUUCAAGAUUUAUCAUAUUUAAAUUAAAAUGGAAAAAUGUUAAAAUAGUUAUUGAAAAUGAAAAUAGUAAAUGCCUGUUUACUUAAAUAAUAUUUAAUCUCACAGAUCCCCUGAAAGAUUUUGGAGAAUUUCCUGAUUGGCACUUUGAAAACUGCUGCUGUAACCAAUUCUGUGAUGACUGCUGACUUGAUGUGUGCUUAAGACACAGACACCUACAGAAGGAAGACCAUGUGAAAAUACAGGGAGAAGAAAGCUAUCUGUAAGCCAAGAAGUGAGUAAGGCCUCAGAAGAAAGCAAAGCCUGCCAACACCUGGAUCUUGGAUUCUGGCCUCCAGAAUCAUAAGAAAAUACGUUUCUGUUGUUUAAGCUACUUGGUCUGUGGUACUUGGUUACAGUAGCCCUAGCAAACUCAUAUGAUUCUGUGAUGAGGGGAAAGAACUGUUGAAAGCAUUUAGUUAUAAAUAAUGAAUCAGGAAACAAAGGGCCAAUAAUGACAUAAUGAACUCCUUAAGGUACGCAUAAUGUUUCAUAAGUUAAGUUAGAAAUUUCCAAUUGCUUUUUCUAAAAUGGAAACAACUGUAUAACAAGAUUGCUUCUUUGAAAUACUGUAAAAGUAUAAUGUUCUAGAUUGUUAUAUACUGCAACAUAUUAAAGCCUAAUGGAUUUUCCUCAUGAAAAUCUGUAAUACUGCUAUGAUUGAAUACUUCUUCAGAACUUGGUAAGCAUGUUGCUUUUUUAAAAUCUUGUAUUUGUCAUAGUACUUAUUCUGGCAGGUGGGGGGACAUUUGGGUGAUGCUUGUUGUUAACAGAAGGACGAAUUAGUUUUGCAGCAUGAAUUGGCAUUCUAUAAAAUUCAUUCACAAAAUAAUUGCUUACUGGGGAUUUUCAUCAUUAUAACUGAGAAAGAGGAGGCACAUCUGUGCUCUUUUGCAAUAUGAGACAGUCAUUUUUCAAACAAAUCAUACAUGCAACAAUAGAUAGGAAUAUGGCGGGAAAAAGAUUCAGUGGUUCUAUCUGAGCCCGUGAUUCCAAUACCAGAGGCAGAAUUGAGAUUCAAGUCUAUAACUGUACCAGGAAAAGUCAUAAUAAGGGUAUAGGGGGUUGAUACAUUUAACUUCUGUCUAUGACAGCUUUCUUUGGAUAAUUUGGUAGAAAAAACAACAUGCAAUAAAAACAUCUUUAGAAGUCUUAGAUUAUUACUAAUUAUUUAUGGGAUUGGUUUCAGAAAUUUGAUACCUUAACAUCUUAAAGAAAAAGGAAGGCCAGGUACAUUGGCUCAGACCUGUAAUCCUAGCACUUUGAGAGAGCAAGGAGUGAAGAUUGCUUAAGGCCAGGAGUUCAAGACAAGCCUGGGCAAAAGUGUGAGACCCCCAACUCUACAAAAAACAAAACAAAACAAAACAAAAAACAAAAAAACCUAGCUGGAUAUGGAUAUGGUAGCACGUGCCUGUAGUCGUAGCUACAGGAGGCUAAGGUGGGAGGAUUGCUUGAGCCCAAGGGUUCAAGGCUACAGUGAGCCAUGAUCAGCCCAUUGCACUCCAGCCUGGGUGACAGAGUGAGAUCUUUUCUUUAAAGAGAGAGAGACAGACAGAGAGAGAAAUACUCUCAACAGGCAGCAUGAAAUCAUGUUCUAAAUCCACACUUCUUUUUUUUCCUGAAGAUAUUUGUUCAAUAACAUACGAGCCAAAUAAUGGAAACUGACAUCGUGUGUGUGUGUGUGUGUGUGUGUGUGUGUGUGUGUGUGUGUGUGUGUUGGGGAGGAGCUAGGUAUGCAGGAGAACCAACCACCAGGGGAAUCUCCUAGUACUUCCUGAAUCCCAAAGGUUCUUUGCCUCUAAUAUCUGACAUCCUUCACUUCCUUUUCCUUCUCUUUGCAACCACCAGCAACUUGACUUACGUGUUACUUGUGUUUAGGUACAAUGUAUUAGUUUUGUUUGUUUGUUUUUGUUUUGUUUUUAGAUGGAGUUCUCUGUUGUUGCCCAGGCUGGGGUGCAAUGGCGAGAUCUCAGCUCACUGCAACCUCCACCUCCCAGAUUCAAGCGAUUCUCCUGCCUUGGCCUCCUGAGUAGCUGGGAUUACAGGCAUGUGCCACCACGCCUGGCUAAUUUUGUAUUUUUAGUAGAGACAGGGUUUCUCCAUGUUGAUCAGGCUGGUCUCGAACUCCUGACCUCAGGUGAGCUGCCCGCCUUGGCCUCCCAAAGUGCUGGGAUUACAGGUAUGAGCCAUCGUGCCCAGCCAAUGUCAUUAAUUUUUAUACCGACAGAUAUAUAUAGCACAGUGCCUUGAGGUGAAAUAUUAAAUUGCCACUUUAUACAUGGAUUAUUACAAUUGCUAUUUAACUGUUUUGAGGAUUCCAGUUUACAUUUUAUAUUUAUAUUAAAACCAUAAUUAUAUUGAAUGUAAUUCAAGUGAUGCCAUUUGUGCUUUUAAAAUCAUUUAAAAUGUUUUGUGUGUUCUAAAAUGUUAAUGACUAGUGGUCAAAUAAAUGAAGUAUAGACUCCUAAAAAUCUCCUGAAAUAGCCCAACCCAAUCUAUCCCCAAAUUAGUGUCCCGAUUGCAGCCUAAUCUCCUCAGCACCCUUCAUGAAGGCUGGCAUUCAGCCACAUGCCACAUUGUUGCCCUUCUGGAAAUAUGCCAGAUUCUUUCAGGGCACGGAAUAUUUGCAAAGAAUGUUUUACCUUUCUGAAAUACCCUUUCCUUCUUCUUCAGUCCUGGCAAAGUUAGUUUCUUCCUCUUAUUUUUUCAUUAGGCUUUAUCUACUCUCCUCUUAAACAAUGUAAGGAUCUUAGAAAACUUUACCCUUUCCACUUAAAUAAUUUUUAAACUUUAUUCUAUUAUUUUUUACUCCCCAAAUUCAUUGUAAAUUUAUCCAAAGUUUAACAUCUAUUUUCCUCUAUGUUUUAUUUUUCAUCUACUAUUUCUUUCUUUCUUGGUUUUAUUUUUUCAUUGUAAAAAACUAAGGUGGACUUGUUAGUAGUUUUUUCUGCAAAAGGCUAUUAGUAGUAAAACUAUUAUAGUCUAUAUUUGUCCAGCAUCAAAUCUACCAGAAUGGCUAAAAUUAAAAAGACUGACAGUAACAAGUAUUGAUGAGUAUGUGAAACACUGCUGGUGGAAAUAUAAGUAAAUACAACAAUUUGGAAACAUUAUUUGGUAUCAUCAACUAAUGCUGAACAUAAUAAACAGCUUAUACCCCUAGGUAAAAUCCAACAGAAAUGCGUACAUAUUGUGGCAGGUUGAAUAAUUGUCCCCCAAGGAUGUCCAUAUCCUAAUACUCAGAACCUGUGAAUGUUACCUUAUAUGACAAAAUAAAAUUUGCAGGUGUGAUUAAGUUAAAUGUGUUGAGAUGGGGAGAUUAUUCUCAAUUAUCUGAGUGGUCUCAAUGUAAUCACAGUGAUCCUUAUAAAAGGGAUGCAGGAGAAGUCAGAGUUGGAGAGAAAGCAAUCGAUGACUGAAGCAAGCAGAGCAUGUAGUGAUGUGGCCACAGUUCAAUGAAUACUAAGUCUAAAAGCUGGAAGGAUCAAGGAACAGACUCCUCCUGGAGACUCCAAAAGAAAUCAGCCCUGGCUGGGCGUGGUGGCUCAUGCCUGUAAUCCCAACACUUUGGGAGGCUGAGGCGGGCGGAUCACGAGGUCAGGAGAUCGAGGCCAUCCUGGCUAACACGGUGAAACCCCGUCUCUACCAAAAAAAUAGAAAAAAUUAGCCGGGCACGGUGGCGGGUGCCUGUAAUCCCAGCUACUCGGGAGGCUGAGGCAGGAGAAUGGCGUGAACCCGGGAGGUGGAGCUUGCAGUGAGCCGAGAUCGUGCCACUGCACUCCAGCCUGGGCAACAGAGCGAGACUCCAUCUCAAAAAAAAAAAAAAAAAAAAAAAAAAAGAAGAAGAAAUCAGCCCUGCUGACACCCUUGUUUUAAUCCCAUGAGCUCCAUUUCAGGCUCCGACCUCUAGAAUUCUGAGAAUGGGGACUUAAAUUGCUUUUGUUAAUGGUAGUCCCUAUGCCUAGACAGUGUAAGUGCUCAAUAAGAAUUGUUGAACAACAACAAACUGUGUGAAUGAAUGAAUGAGUGCAAAUGUCUUUAUUUCACUCUUAUUUGGAUGGGUAAAUUGGCGUGGUAUAGAAUUCUAGAUUGAUGACUAUUUUUUUCAGCACUUUAGAGAGUUUUCUGGCUUUUCUUUUAUUUUCCCAGCCAUUAUCUCUUUGAAUACUGUGCCUCCUUCAUUUUCUCAAUUCUUCCCUUUUGUAACUGUUACUGGACUUUCUAGCCAUGGUGUCUUUAAAUCUGUCCUUCAUUUUAUCCAUCUGUUUAUUUCCUCCUGUUGCUCUCUGGAUAUUUUGUUCAGAUCACAUCCAGUUCAUUUAUAGUUUUGUUUAACUCAUCCACACAAAGUGCACAAGUCACAAGGGUGAAUCUCAACAAACUAUUACAAAGUAAACACAUGCUGCAACUAGGUCAAUAAAAUUCUGUCAUUGCCAAGAAGCUCCCUCAUGCCAUCUUCCAAUCACUAUGGCUUUCUUUCUAUCUAGAGGUAAUCAUUCCUUUAAUAUUUCCAUUAGAGGAAUCUACCAGCAAUGUCAGUGGGUCUACUGACAACAGAUGCUAUUGUUGUGGUCUGCAAAUAUCCUAGUUUGACUUUGUUCCUCAAAGACAUUUUCAUUGACUAUAGAAUUUUAGAUUGGCAGUUAUUUUCUUUUGGUACUUUGAAAAUACAUUUCAGUGUCUUCUGGCUUCGUAGUUUUUAUUGAAAAGGCAAUUAUGAUUCUGAUUAUGAUUCCCAUCAAGGUAGUCUCUUUUCCUUCCCUAUAGAUGAUCUUAUGAUUUUCUAAUUUUUCUUUGUUUUUCAUUGAUUUCACUAUAAUGUGCUAUGUGUAGCUUUCUUUGUAUAUAUCCUUUUUUGGGAUUCCUAAUACUAUCUGAAUCUGCAGCUUAAUCUCUUUUUCCAGUUGUGAAAAAUCCAUAGCCAUACUCUCUUCAACUAUCUUUCUGCUCCAUUUUUCUCUCCUUUUCUUCUGGGACUCCACUUACACAUUUGUUGGAACUUUUAAUUGGAUCCCCGAUGUCUUUCCUAUGUAAUUUUCUCUAUUUUUCCUUCUUUUUGUCUCUUUAUACUUCAUCCUGGGUAUUUUCUUCUGACCAAUUUACCAGGUGAUUUAUUCUUUUUUCAUCUAUGACUAAUUUACUGUUAACCCAUAUAUUGAGUAUUUUUUCAGUAAUUGCAUUUUUUCAUAUCUAGAAUUUUCAUUGGAUUGUUCUUUACAUUUUUAGCUAUCUGACAAUAUUUUAAAUUAUGUCUUUUAUUUCCUUGACUAUAUUAACAUCUAUUUCUAAUAACUUUAUAAUUUUGAAUUUUCUCUUGUCUGUUUCUGAUAUCUGUUUUUCUCUUGGUUGUGAUCAUGUUGUCUUGUCUCCUUGUUAUUCUAAUUAUUUUUUAAUAUAAACUACCCAUUUUAUACAAAGUAGUAGAGAUAAUUUAAGUGUGUAAUAUCUUCCACCAAAGAGGAUUUAUAUAUUUUUUUCUAGUAGGUGGCUAGUAAUUCCAGAUCACCUUGAUAUAAUCAAGGCUUAUAAAAGCCCACUUAAAAAAUCAUAAACACGGAUUUCUAGAGUAUAUUUCUUUGUGGUCUCAAAGCCCCAGAUGUUUGCCACUUGCCUGUCCUAGGCAGGCAAUGAACUCCAAUUUUUGUUCCCUUGGCACCAUGAAUCUGUUCAAAGUUUUGCAAAGCUCCUGAUUCUCUCAGGUGCCUCUUCUGAUAUGAGCGUGGACAGAAAAAAAAAAUGGCACCAGUUGCAGAACUCUUCUGUCUUUUUCAUUUUCUCCCCUAAAUAUCUUGAUCUUUUAAUUCACCCCUGCCUCUUUAAUGUUCAAAUGACAUAGAACAGAUUUUUAAAAAAAUAUUUUGCAAGUAUUAAUAGUUGCUCUGAGCCUGAAGCUUGAUCUGAUUUACUUUGUUUGCAAUUACUGGAAGUCAGGAGCAAUUGCAAGAUAUUCACAGCUAUAAGUUCCAUUCUAUUAUUUUAAAAUUUUUCUUCUUUUUUUAAUAGAUUCUUCCUCUUUUAUUAUGUCUUGGUUUCUUUUGUAGGUCUUCUAUUUUUAUUCUAAAGAUAGCUACUUUAUACUGUCUGGUCAAUAUUCGUGUUAUUGGAGGUCAGAGGAUAUAAUCGUAUUGUUUACUGUGGGUUUUUAAAAAAGGAACUCUAAAUGCACAUAUUAGUUCUAUCCCUUAAUUUUUUAUGGCCUUAAGCAAUUUGCUUGCAUUUUUUAAGGCUUAAUUUUCUCAUCUCUCUGAAAUGGAAACUGUGUUAAAUAUAAUUUUCAUAGUUAACUGUGUGACAUAGUUUUUUUUAACCUGUUGUUUUAAUAUAAAUGGUAAAGAAUCUUGGAUUAAUUUUUUUCUACCAGAAAAUGAAUUAAAAUUAAAAUAUAAAUAUCUUACAGGAUAUGAAACUUGGUAUUUUGGAGCUCUCUGUAAUCACAGUUAUUCAUUACAGCAUUAUCUUGACAGAUAGUACACCCAUCUCUACUGAUAAAGAAACAUGGAGAUUUCUGUUUCCAGCAACAUAAAAAACUAGAUCACCUACUGUGAGAUGUGCUAUAUAUAAUUCAACAAAUUCUUUAAAUUCACAAGGGAAUUCCCUAUUGUCUGAAAAUUUUUAAAAAGAAGGAAUUUGGUAUGGUAAGCCAAUACCAGACUUGUGACUGCAUGACAGUAUUUUAUGAUGCCAAGAGACUUGUGUUUUCAUGAUUCAGUAAUACCUUGUGCCUACCUAAGGUGGUUUAUAUAGUCAUUUCCUUCAAAGGGAUUUUUUUUAUAGAGUCUUGCUCUGUCACCAGGUUGGAGUGCAGUGGCAUGAUCUUGGCUCACUGCAACCUCUGACUCCCUGGUUCAAGUGAUUCUCCUGCCUCAGCCUCCCAAGUAGCUGGGAUUACAGGCAUGCACUACCAUGCCCAGCUAAUUUUUGUAUUUUUAGUAGAAACAGGGUUUCACCGUGUUGGCCAGGAUGGUCUCAAUCUCCUGACCUUGUGAUCUGCCCGCCUUGGCUUCCCAAAGUGCUGGGAUUACAGGCGUGUCCCACUGUGCCCGGCCCAAAGGGAUAUUUUCACAGUGAAAAGACAAACCAGGAAAAAAAGAAGUCUACCCACCAGCAAAGACACAUGACAAAGUUAUUUGUUUGUUCUUGGCCCUGACUCUAGGUAGGACAAAUAUAAUGUAUUUCUUAAGAGUUCCUAGAUAUAGCCCUGGCUUAUAUGGAAUUGUUAUUUGUAUUUUUAUACUCAUAAAUCUAAAAAUUAAUUUAAUGUGAUCAUGAGUAUUUGGCAGAAGAGAAUAAAAUUACUCUUUAGAAAUAUCUACAUUUAACUCAGACUCCCUCAAUAUUUCCAUACAUUUAGAUUAACUGAACUCUAAAUUCCAAACUAUAAAACUGAUGAAACAAGAUAUCAUGAGUGAGAAGUAGCAUGAAAAACAAAUAGUAGAGUUAGAAAUGCUGCAUGGCAUUAUUGUUUGCUUUACUUUGUGUUGUUUUUUAAAGACAAAAUAGACUGAAGCAUGAUUAUAGGUCAAGAGGAACACAUAUUUGAUAAGGAAGAGCCUGGGGAAUAAUUGAUGGGAAUCUUGGAGUAGACCAGAAGAGAGAGGAUCAGGAGUAGAGACUGGAGGGAGACGACCCAUUCAUUCCUGGAGGAAGGGAAGCUGAAAUUGAAAUGUUAAAUUAAAAAUGGACAGGAAUGAUCUCCGUUCCAAGAUGACCGAAUAAGAACAGCUCCGGUGUGCAGCUCCCAGUGUGAUCGACACAGAAGACAGGUGAUGUCUGCAUUUCCAAUGGAAGCACCUGGUUCAUCUCACUGGGACUGGUUGGACAGUGGGUGCAGCCCAUGGAGGGUGAGCCAAAGCAGGUUGGGGUGUCACCUCACCUGGGAGGUGCAAGGGGUCGGGGGAUUCCCCUUUCAUAGCCAAGGGAAGUGGUGACAGACUGUUCCUGGAAAAACUGGACACUCCCGCCCAAAUACUGCACUUUUCCCAUGAUCUUAGCAACUGGCAGACCAGGAGAUGCCCUCCUGUGCCUGGCUUGGUGGGUACCGCCCCCAUGGAACCUUGCUCACUGUCAGUGCAGCAGUCUGAGAUCGACCUGCAAGGCAGCAGCCUGCUGGCGGGAGGGGAGUCUGCAAUUGCUGAGGCUUGACUAGGUAAACAAAGCUGCCAGGAAGUUCAAACUGGGUGGAGCCCACCACAGCUCAGUAAUGCCUACUGCCUCUGUAGACUCCACAUCUGUGGGCAGGGCAUAGCUGAACAAAAGGCAGCAGAAGCUUCUGCAGACUUCAACGUCCCUGUCUGACAGUUCUGAAGAGAGCAGUGGUUCUCCCAGCAGGGCAUUUGAGCUCUGAGAAUGGACAGAGUGCCUCCUCAAGUGGGUCCCUGACCCCCGUGUAGCCUAACUGGGAGACAUCUCCCAGUAGGGGCCAACAGAUACCUCAUGCAGACAGGUGCCCCUCUGGGAAGAAGCUUCCAGAGGAAGGAUCAGGCAGAAAUAUUUGCUGUUCUGUAAUAUUUGCUGUUCUGCACCCUCUGCUGGUGAUACCCAGGCAAACAGGGUCUGGAGUGGAGCUCCAGCAAACUCCAGCAGGGACAAGCAGUUCCCUGCAGCUGAGGGACCUGACUGUUAGAAGGAAAACUAACAAACAGAAAGUAAUAGCAUCAACAUCAAUAAAAAGGACAUCCACACCAAAACCCCAUCUGUAGGUCACCAACAUCGAAGACCAAAGGUAGAUAAAACCACAAAGAUGGGGAGAAAGCAGAGCAGAAAAACUGAAAAUUCCAAAAACAGAGCACAUCUUCUCCUCCAAAGGAUCACAGCUCCUCACCAGCAAUGGAACAAAGCUGGACAGAGAAUGACUUUGACAAGUUGACAGAAGUAGGCUUCAGAAGGUUGGUAAUAACAAAUUUCUCCAAGCUAAAGGAGCAUGUUCUAACCCAUUGCAAGGAAGCUAAAAACCUUGAAAAAAGGUUAGGUGAAUGGCUAACUAGAAUAAACAGUGUAGAGAAGACCUUAAAUGACCUGAUGGAGCUGAAAACCAUGGCACAAGAACUUCGUGACACAUGCACAAACUUCAAUAGCUGAUUCGAUCAAGUGGAAGAAAGGAUAUCAGUGACUGAAAAUCAAAUUAAUGACAUAAAGCAAGAUGACAAGAUUGGAGAAAAAAGAGUAAAAGGAAACAAACAAAUCCUCCAAGAAAUAUGGGGCCAUGUGAAAAGACCAAAUCUAUGUUUGAUUGUUGUACCUGAAAGUGACGGGGAGAAAGGAACCAAGUUGGAAAACACUUUUGAGGAUAUUAUCCAGGAGAACUUCUCCAACUAGCAAGGCAGACCAACAUUCAAAUUCAGGAAAUACAGAGAACACCACAAAGAUACUCCUUGAGAUGAGCAGUCCCAAGACACAUAAUCAUCAGAUUCACCAAGAUGAAAUCAAGGAAUAAAUGUUAAGGGCAGCCAGAGAGAAAGGUCGGGUUACCCACAAAUGGUAGCCCAUCAGACUAACAGUGGAACUCUUGGCAGAAACUUUAUAAGCCAGAAGAGAGUGGAGGCCAAUAUUCAACAUUCUUAACCAAAAGAAUUUUCAACCCAGAAUUUCAUCUCCAGCCAAACUAAGCUUCAUAAGUGAAGGAGAAAUAAAAUCCUUUACCGACAAGCGAAUGCUGACAGAUUUUGUCACCACCAGGCCUGCCUUACAAGAGCUCCUGAAGGAAGCAGUAAACAUGGAAAGGAACAACCGGUACCAGCCACUGCAAAAACAUGCCAAAUUAUAGAGACCAUCAAUUCUAUGAAGAAAUUGCAUGAAAUAAUGGGCAAAAUAACCAGCUAACGUCAUAAUGACAAGAUCAAAUUCACACAUAACAAUAUUAACCUUAAAUGUAAAUGGGCUAAAUGCCACAAGUACAAGACACAGACUGGCAAAUUUGAUAAAGAGUCAAGACCCAUCAGUGUGUUGUAUUCAGGAGACUCAUCUCACAUGCAGAGACACACACAGGCUCAAAAUAAAGGGAUGGAGGAAGAUCUACCAAGCAAAUGGAAAGCAAAAAAAAAGCAGGGGUUGCAAACCUAGUCUCUGAUAAACCAGACUUUAAACCAACAAAGAUCAAUAGAGACAAUGAAGGCCAUUACAUAAUGGUAAAGGGAUCAAUUCAACAAGAAGAGCUAACUAUCCUAAAUAUAUAUGCACCCAAUACAGGAGCACCCAGAUUCAUAAAGCAAGUCCUUAGAGACCUACAAAGAGACUUAGACUCCCACACAAUAAUAAUGGGAAACUUUAACACCCUACUGUCAAUAUUAGAAAAAUCAACGAGACAGAAGGUUAACAAGGAUAUACAGGACUUGAACUCAACUCUGCACCAAGUGGACCUAAUAGACAUCUACAGAACUCUCCAUGCCAAAAUCAACAGAAUAUACAUUCUGUAAAAGAACAGAAACCACAACAAACUGUGUCUCAGACCACAGUGCAAUCAAAUUAGAAUUCAGGAUUAAGAAACUCAUUCAAAACUGCUCAACUACAUGGAAACUGAGCAACCUGCCCCUGAAUGACUACUGGGUACAUAAAAAAAUGAAGGCAGGAAAAAAGAUGUUCUUUGAAACCAAUGAGAAAAAAGACAAAAUGUACCAGAAUCUCUGGGACACAUUUAAAGCAGUGUGUAGAGGGAAACUUAUAGCACUAAAUGCCCACAAGAGAAAGCAGGAAAGAUCUAAAAUCGACACCCUAACAUUACAAUUAAAAGAACUAGAGACGCAAGAGCAAACAAAUUCAAAAGCUAGCAGAAGGCAAGACAUAACUAAGAUCAGAGCAGAACUGAAAGAGAUAGAGACACAAAAAACCCUUCAAAAAAUCAAUGAAUCCAGGAGCUGUUUUUCGAAAAGAUCAACAGAAUCGAUAGACUGCUGGCAAGACUAAUAAGAAAAGAAAGAAGAAUCAAAUAGACACAAUAAAAAAUAAUAAAAGGGAUAACACCACCGAUCCCACAAAAAUACAAACUACCAUCAGAGAAUACUAUAAACACCUCUAUGCAAAUAAACUAGAAAAUCUAGAAGAAAUGGAUAAAUUCCUGGACACAUACACCCUCCCAAGGGUAAACCAGGAAGAAGCUGAAUCUCUGAAUAGACCAAUAACAGCCUCUGAAAUUGAGGCAAUAAUUAAUAGCCUACCAAUGAAAAAAAGGCCAGGACCAGAUGAAUUCUACCAGAGGUACAAAGAGGAGCUGGUACCAUUCCUUCUGAAACUAUUCCAAUAGGAAAGAGGGAAUCCUCCCUAAUUCAUUUUAUGAGGCCGGCAUCAUCCUGAUACCAAAACCUGGUAGAGACACAACAAAAAAACAGAAUUUUAGACCAAUAUCCCUGAUGAACAUCGAUGCAAAAAUCCUCAAUAAAAUACUGUCAAACCGAAUCCAGCAGCACGUCAAAAAGCUUAUCCACCACGAUCAACUUGGCUUCAUCCCUGGGAUACAAGGCUGGUUCAACAUACACAAAUCAAUAAACGUAAUUCAUCAUAUAAACAGAACCAGCGAAGAAAACCACAUGAUUAUCUCAAUAGAUGCCAAAAAGGCUUUUGACAAAAUUCAACAGCCCUUCAUACUAAAAACUCUCAAUAAACUAGGUAUUGAUUGAACAUAUCUCAAAAUAAUAAGAGCUAUUUAUAACAAACACGCAGCCAAUAUCAUACUGAAUGGGCAAAAUUUGGAAGCAUUCCCUUUGAAAAGUGCUAUAAGACAAGGAUGCCCUCUCUUACCACUCCUAUUCAACAUAGUGUUGGAAGUUCUGGCCAGGGUAAUCAGGCAAGAGAAAGAAAUAAAAGGUAUUCAGUUAGGAAAUGAGGAAGUCAAAUUGUCCCUGUUUGCAGAUGACAUGAUUGUAUACUUAGAAAACCCCAUUGUCUCAGCCCAAAAUCUCCUUAAGCUGAUAAGCAACUUCAGCAAAGUCUCAGGAUACAAAAUCAAUGUGCAAAAAUCACAAGCAUUCCUAUACACCAAUAACAGACAAACAGAGAGUGAAAUCAUGAGUGAACUCCCAUUCACAAUUGCUUCAAAGAGAAUAAAAUACCUAGGAAUCCAACUUAUAAGGGAUGUGAAGGACCUCAUCAAGGACAACUACAAACCACUGUUCAAUGAAAUAAAAGAGGACACAAACAAAUGGAAGAACAUUCCAUGCUCAUGGGUAGGAAGAAUCAAUAUCGUGAAAAUGGCCAUACUGCCUAAGGUAAUUUAUAGAUUCAAUGCCACCCCCAUCAAGCUACCAAUGACUUUCUUCACAGAAUUGGAAAAAAUUACUUUAAAGUUCAUAUGGAACCAAAAAAACCUGCAUUGCCAAGACAAUCCUAAGCCAAAAGAACAAAGCUGGAGGCAUCACGCUACCUGACUUCAAACUAUACUACAAGGCUAUAGCAACCAAAACAGCAUGGUACUGGUACCAAAACAGAGAUGUAGACCAGUGGAACAGAACAGAGACCUCAGAAAUAAUAAUACACAUCUACAACCAUCUGAUCUUUGACAAACCUGACAAAAACAAGAAAUGGGGAAAUGAUUUCCUACUUAACAAAUGGUGCUGGGAAAACUGGCUAGCCAUAUGUAGAGAGCUGAAACUGGAUCCCUUUCUUACACCUUAUACAGAAAUUAAUUCAAGAUGGAUUAAAGACUUUAAUGUUGAACCUAAAACCAUAAAAACCCUAGAAGAAAACCUAGGCAAUACCAUUCAGGACAUAGGCAUGGGCAAAAACUUCAUGACUAAAACACCAAAAGCAAUGGCAACAAAAGCCAAAAUAGACAAAUGGGAUCUAAUUAACCUAAAGAGCUUCUGCACAACAAAAGAAACUACCAUCAGAGUGAACAGGCCACCUAUAGAAUGGCAGAAAAUUUUUGCAUAGUACCCAUCCAACAAAGGGCUAAUAUCCAGAAUCUACAAAGAACUUAAACAAAUUUACAAGAAAAAAACAAACAACCUCAUCAAAAAGUGGGCAAAGGAUAUGAACAGACACUUCUCAAAAGAAGACAUUUAUGAAGCCAAAAAACGUGAAAAAAUGCUCAUCAUCAGAGAAAUGCAAAUCAAAACCACAAUGGAAUACCAUCUCACACCGGUUAGAAUGAAGAUCAUUAAAAAGUCAGGAAACAACAGAUGCUGGAGGGGAUGUGGAGAAAUAGGAACGCUUUUGCACUGUUGGUGGGAGUGUUAAUUAGUUCAAUCAUUGUGGAAGGCAGUAUGGUGAUUCCUCAAGGAUCUAGAACUAGAAAUACCAUUUGACCCAGCGAUCCUAUUACUGGGUAUAAACCCAAAGGAGUAUAAAUCAUGCUGCCAUAAAGACACAUGCACACGUAUGUUUAUUGCAGCACUACUCACAAUAGCAAAGACUUGGAACCAACCCAAAUGUCCAUCAGUGAUAGACUGGAUUAAGAAAUUGUGGCAUAUAUACCCCAUGGAAUACUAUGCAGCCAAAAAAAGGAUGAGUUCGUGUCCUUUGUAGGGACAUGGAUGAAGUUGGAAACCAUCAUUCUCAGCAAACUGUCACAAGGACAGAAAACAAACACUGCAUGUUCUCACUCAUAGGUGGGAAUUGAACAUUGAGAACACGUGGGCACAGGGAGGGGAACAUCACACACUGGGGCCUGUCAGGGGGAGGGGGACUAGGGGAGAGAGAUAGCAUUAGGAGAAAUACCUAAUGUAAAUGAUGAGUUGAUGGGUGCAGCAAACCAGCAUGGCACAUAGAUAACUACGUAACAAACCUGCACGUUCUGCACAUGUACCCUGGAACUUAAAGUAUAAUAAAAAAAAUGGACAAUGA